UACGUAGGGACCAAGCGUUGUUCGGAUUUACUGGGCGUAAAGGGCGCGUAGGCGGCAUGACAAGUCACUUGUGAAAUCUCCGGGCUUAACUCGGAACUGCCAAGUGAUACUGUCGCGCUAGAGUGCAGAAGGGGCAAUCGGAAUUCUUGGUGUAGCGGUGAAAUGCGUAGAUAUCAAGAGGAACACCUGAGGUGAAGACGGGUUGCUGGGCUGACACUGACGCUGAGGCGCGAAAGCUAGGGUAGA
rnacentral:rRNA from 1 species